rnacentral:rRNA from 1 species
UACGAAGGGGGCAAGCGUUAUCCGGAUUUACUGGGUGUAGAGGGAGCGUAGACGGCGCGGCAAGUCUGAAGUGAAAGGCAGGGGCUUAACCCCUGAACUGCUUUGGAAACUGCCAUGCUAGAGUGCUGGAGAGGUAAGUGGAAUUCAUAGUGUAGCGGUGAAAUGCGUAGAUAUUAGGAGGAACACCAGUGGCGAAGGCGGCCUACUGGACAGUAACUGACGUUGAGGCUCGAAAGCGUGGGGAGCAAACAGG